UAUGUAGGAUAAAAACAAGAAAAUACAAAAAAACAACAAGCAGCACAAAAUACAAUAUUCGCCCAGCGCGCGAAAUAUAAACGUAAAUGUGUUUAUUAAAUAUGAAAACGGUGCUAUGAAAGACUGUCAAAUUAGCUUUUGCCCUCAUUUCGCUGUGCGGGAAAGUGCGCGACAAAUAAUAAAACAACAGGUGUGCACAAAUCAGGCGAAACGAAUGUGUUUUGACGUCUUAUUAAAUUUUUUCUGCGACGCUUCGCUUGUUUUCUUUUUGCGAUAUUUUUACAACGGUUUAUGUUUGCUUAUAUUUUAUAUUAUAUAGAAGUAGGUGAAGAAGCAAAUCAUCACUGAUUGAGGACUUAUGAUGAAAUGGAAGUGAGUGGGUACAUAUGGGUAUGAGGAGAGGGUGAGAUAUGUGGAAGAUGAUGUAAAGCUGAGGAUAGGUUAUUUUCGGAUCUUACGAAAUUAGAAAUUCUUUACUAUAUAUUCGACAAAACUUAUUUCCAGUGAGACCUUAUUUGAGCGUAGUAGUAUUCUAUAUCUGAAUUGCUAUUCUUUCGGAUGAAACCAUCUUAAGCGAUUAUACUAUUUGGAUGAUAGGCAAAAAAUAUGAAAUAUAAACUAGUUUUUUUUCGGAAAAUCUGAGAUUUCAUGACUUAACAACUGAAUGCCUAAGUUGAUAUAAGGGGUUCUAUUUUCAGGUAAAAAAAAUUUGAAUUGAGAAAUGGUAGAAUUCUUUACACUAUACGACAAAUAUAAUUUUUCUGUGUAUUGAAUAAAACUUGGACCAAUAUUUUUCGAUAUUUACAUUUUUUAUUUUUUCGAAGAUCAAACAUUCACCAUUCAUAGCCACUGCCAUAUAAGCCGUCCGUCCGUCUGUGCAAGCCGUAACUUGGGUAAAAAUUAAGGUAUCUUGACGAAACUUGGCACACUUGUUUCUUGGCACCAUAGGAAGGUUGUUUUCGAAAAUGGGAAAAAUCGGACCACUGCCACGUCCACAAAAUGGCGAAAACCGAAAACACAUAAAGUGCCAUAAAUAAAGCUAUGGAAAUAAAAUUUGGUAUGAUGGAUCGCAAUAUGAAGGGGUAUAUUUGGAUGUAAUUUUUUUGGGGAAGUGGGCGUUUCCCCGCCCCCAAAUAGGUUUUUUGUACAUAUCUCUCAAACCAAAAACCUAUAUAAACCAAACAUUCUGCAGUCGUUUUUAUAGACACUUCUUAAUACAGUCCAAAAAUGAGAGAAAUUUGAUAAUAACCACGCCCACCUCCCAUACAAAGGUUAGGUGGAAAAUUACUAAAAGUGGGUUAACUCAUUAACGAAAAAUGUCAAAAACACAAAAUUUUACAGAAUAAAUACCAGAAAGAAGCUGCACUAAGAUUUUUUGAUAAAAUGGAAAAUGGGCGUGGUUCCGCCCACUUAUGAGUCAAAAACAUAUCUCAGGAACUACUUGACAGAUUUCAAUGAAAUUCGGUAUAUAAUAUUUUUUUGACACCCUGAUGACACGUGUGGAAAAUGGAUGAGAUCGGUUCACAACUGCGAAAACUUUCCAUAUAACUCAAUUUUGAAUUCCAUCUGAUUCCUUCACUUUAUAAGAUAUACAUUAGGAACCAAAGAACACAGCGAAAUAAAUAUUUACAUAAGUACUGUAUAUGAUCCGUGGCACCACUUGUGAAAAAAUUUUCGAAAUCGGACUAUAACUUUUCAAGGCCCCGGAUAUCGAAUUUGAAGAACUAAAUCUCUCAGAUAUCUUAAUUUAAUUCAGUGGAAAUCUUUUUCUUCUAAUAGUGUGUCUCUGUAUCGGAAAUGGUUAAAAUCAGGUCAUAACUUCCCCUAGCUCUCAUAUACCUAAUUAUAGAAUUUUCAAAUUGGGUCUAAUUGCGUGUUAUCUUAAUAAAAAUUGAUCAAUAAAUAGCGAGAGUAUAAAAUGUUCGGUUGCAGCCGCACUUAGCCUUUCCUAACUUGUUGAUUAGAUGAG